CGGGUUAGUACGGAGCUGCGGCGUACGCGAGAGUCGCGCCAAGUUAACAGUGGAAACAGUAGCCAAGACCUAGUGCAAACGGAACAAGCUAUCAACCUACCCCAACGGGCAAAUCAAUGGGGCCAGUCCCACCGAAACUCGCAACAAAAACCAAAUAAAUCACGCGGUGAAACAAAAUAAAAAAUACCUUUGAAAAUAAUUUAAAAAAAUAAUUAAAUUGAUUGAAAGCAUUCAGCAAGGAAAUUAACUAGCUGCGAUUCUGUGGUAAGCCUCGCUAUAUGAUACUUAUUCCUGAAUGAAAGCUGAGAGCUGCACCCUUCGUUUGCAUUUGGCAUAAUGUGAAAAAUGCACAAGGCGUGGCCGCAUUACGAAAGUGGAGCUGCAAAUCGAAGCUGUGCAUGUGCAACAUCUUGUGGCAGCCACACAGAGCCAUGUCCAAUGCGAAGCGACGACAACUGAUGACGUCGAGGCAAACAGCCGCAACUGCCAACUGAUUUGAAGAAAUGAACAUGACAUGCAACAACAACAACCUUAACAACAACAACAAGCAACAAUAACAACACAAACAAUAACGACAAAAGUAAUUUGAA
rnacentral:sRNA from 1 species